GCCUAGCCAUAACACACAAUCAAACUACAAAUUGUUCGCCAAACAACUACGAGUAAUACUUAAAACUUAAAAGACUUGACGGUACUUCAUCCCGACCUAGAGGAGCCUGUCCAAUAACCGACAAUCCACGAUUAACCCAACCCCUUCUUGCCCCACAGUCUAUAUACCGCCGGUCGUCAGCUUACCUUGUAAAAGAAAUAAAGUAAGCUAAACAGUAUCACACUAAAACGACAGGUCGAGGUGUAACUUAUGAAGAGGACCAAGAUGGGCUACAUUCUCCAACCAAGAAUACGAAUAACACUAUGAAAUUAAUGUUUAAAGGCGGAUUUAGCAGUAAGAUAAGAAUAAAAUACCUAACUGAAUAUAACGCAAUGAAGUGCGCACACACCGCCCGUCACC
rnacentral:rRNA from 1 species